rnacentral:rRNA from 1 species
GACGUUACCUACAGAAGAAGCGCCGGCUAACUCCGUGCCAGCAGCCGCGGUAAUACGGAGGGUGCGAGCGUUAAUCGGAAUUACUGGGCGUAAAGCGCAUGCAGGCGGCCUGUUAAGUCAGAUGUGAAAGACCCGGGGCGUUAACCUCGGAAUUGCAUUUGAAACUAGGCAGGCUAGAGUCUUGUAGAGGGGGUAGGAAGUUUCAGGUGUAGCGGUGAAAUAGCGUAGAGAUCUGAAGGAAUACCAGUGGCGAAGGCGGCCCCCUCGGACAAAGACUGACGCUCAGAUGCGAAAGCGUGGGGAGCAAACAGGAUUAGAUACCCUGGUAG